rnacentral:rRNA from 1 species
UGAGUAACCUGCCCUUAACUCUGGGAUAAGCCUGGGAAACUGGGUCUAAUACCGGAUAUGACUCCUCAUCGCAUGGUGGGGGGUGGAAAGCUUUAUUGUGGUUUUGGAUGGACUCGCGGCCUAUCAGCUUGUUGGUGAGGUAACGGCCCACCAAGGCGACGACGGGUAGCCGGCCUGAGAGGGUGACCGGCCACACUGGGACUGAGACACGGCCCAGACUCCUACGGGAGGCAG